GCUCCUAUGGCUUAGUUGGUAAAGCGCAUCACUAGUAUGCACAGUUAUGAUGAGAUCCUCGGUUCGAAUCCGAGUGGGAGCA
rnacentral:tRNA from 1 species